CUGAUAUUCAUUUUAUUAUUAUUGAGCGCAAUUGGCUCAUUUACAGAGCAUAAGUUGUGGAAUUGUUUAUUGCUUAUGGAAUUUCUAUUGCUUUGUGUGGAAGAGACACUCCUGUUUGAAAAAAUAGAGUGGGAGCCAAAAUAUAGUGUAAUCAUGAGGAACAAAUUGUUUGCUGAUCCGUGUGUGUAUUUAAUGCAAGUAGGCAUUGCCUCAUUUUCAGAGCAUAGGUUGUGGCUUAUCAUACAAUGGAAAAUGUGCAAAACAAUAAUUAGAAUGGCAACUCUAAAUAUAGCAGUCAUUAUUUCUCACAGCAAACGUUCCCGGCGAUCUGUUCGCAAACGAUACAGCUCGACAACUCACGGCCGAAGUACAUUAAAGCAAUCGUAUUGUUUGUGUAUUUCUUGUAUAGAAACGUUUGUGGUUUUGUUUUGUAUGGAGUACAAAACGAUUGAAAAAAAUUAAAGUUUGUGACUUCGGGUGAGCAGUACAUUAUUCGUUCCGUUUGUUUUCGUUCGCUGACAAAAGCAACAACAUCAUAUGCCUUGUUGAUACAGAUUAGCGACAAUUUGGUAUACAACACCGGCCAGCUUACUUAACUGAAAUGCGAAAAUCCCCUUGAGACUCAUGUGUGGGCACGCCCCAAAGAGAAACCUCCGUCGGCAAAUACUGAUGAUUCAGUCCUCCAGCGGCAAGACGCCAUCGAAAUAGGAGCUGAUGGAGACACUACCAGCAACCCAUUCCACCCAUGAUGGUGUCGACCGAAAAAAGGCUAAAGCAAAAAGGGGAUAUAAGAGGUCGGUUAAAUAUUGCCGGCCGGGACUCCUCACAGAUCACGGAGAGGGAAAGAAUCCUGAUCAAGAUGAACAUCAAGGUAGUUAGGAAAUUCGAAAGAAUCACCCGCAACAAUCGAGCUGUUUUCUUGAUCGGAUUACUCUCACUCUCCUACCUACCGAUCUCAACAAAAAGGUUGAGGACUCCGUGGUGGUUAAAGAAGCUAACACUGAUGAAAGGACAAUUCCUACUAUCACACCAAGUGCUGUCACCGCGGACUCGAAAUCUUCUGCUAAAAACGCAGAAGACGUAAGGCCAAGAAGGCAGAACCGGUCAUUACUGCAGCAUUGGCGGU